rnacentral:rRNA from 1 species
GUUAGUUGGUAAGGUAACGGCUUACCAAGACAAUGAUACGUAGCCGACCUGAGAGGGUAAUCGGCCACAUUGGGACUGAGACACGGCCCAAACUCCUACGGGAGGCAGCAGUAGGGAAUCUUCCACAAUGGACGAAAGUCUGAUGGAGCAACGCCGCGUGAGUGAAGAAGGUUUUAGGAUCGUAAAACUCUGUUGUUGGAGAAGAACAGGGACUAGAGUAACUGUUAGUCCUUUGACGGUAUCCAACCAGAAAGCCACGGCUAACUACGUGCCAGCAGCCGCGGUAAUACGUAGGUGGCAAGCGUUGUCCGGAUUUAUUGGGCGUAAAGCGAGCGCAGGCGGUUUUUUAAGUCUGAUGUGAAAGCCUUCGGCUUAACCGAAGAAGUGCAUUAGAAACUGGGAAACUUGAGUGCAGAAGAGGACAGUGGAACUCCAUGUGUAGCGGUGAAAUGCGUAGAUAUAUGGAAGAACACCAGUGGCGAAGGCGGCUGUCUGGUCUGUAACUGACGCUGAGGCUCGAAAGUAUGGGGAGCGAACAGGAUUAGAUACCCUGGUAGUCCAUACCGUAAACGAUGAAUGCUAAGUGUUGGAGGGUUUCCGCCCUUCAGUGCUGCAGCUAACGCAUUAAGCAUUCCGCCUGGGGAGUACGACCGCAAGG